UCAGGUGGGGAGUUUGGCUGGG
rnacentral:siRNA from 1 species